CCCAGAGCCCGCUGAGUUAGCGCCUCAGAUUUCCAGCUUGUGGUUGAGCUGGGAUGCUUGGCGUAUUGUUUCCACAGGAAACGAGAGAGGCAUGAAUAUGGAUGAAACUCCUCACCGAGACCACAAGGGACAGUUCCGAGCACCAUGGUCAGAAUCCAGAUGUGCCUGUUCCGGGCCCCAGUGAAUGCCCAGCUUCUGUUCUCUACAGUAUGAGGUCUCCUACCUCUCACUUAAAAGAUGGUACUGCAGGCCAGGAAGAGCAAGUCUCCAUCACUGUAGUGGCUCUAGGCCAAAUCUCCAAAUGAAAUCAGGCUGGGGAGAAAUGAACAAGUGAGAUGCAGA
rnacentral:lncRNA from 1 species